rnacentral:tRNA from 2 species
GGGGCCGUCGUCUAGCCUGGCUAGGAUGCCGGCCUGGGGGGAGUACCCCCGUGGCCCAGGACUCCCGGAGCGCCGGUGGUCCCGGGUUCAAAUCCCGGCGGCCCCA